UACGAAGGGGGGCUAGCGUUGCUCGGAAUGACUGGGCGUAAAGGGCGCGUAGGCGGCCUGCUAAGUCGAACGUGAAAUCCCCGGGCUCAACCCGGGAACUGCGUCCGAUACUGGAAGGCUUGAAUCCGGGAGAGGGAUGCGGAAUUCCAGGUGUAGCGGUGAAAUGCGUAGAUAUCUGGAGGAACACCGGUGGCGAAGGCGGCAUCCUGGACCGGCAUUGACGCUGAGGCGCGAAAGCCAGGGGAGCAAACGGG
rnacentral:rRNA from 1 species